ACCCCCCUUUAGCAUUUCUAACCAUUUUUAUUAACUCCUAACACUCCUAAUUCUUGUUUUAUACUUAAUUAAACUUGUCUAGAUUAUCCCAACCCUCCUUACUACAAAUCUAAAGUGAUUAAGACUCAAAUUCAACUCUAAAACACCAACUUCCACCACUUACAAACUCAAAACCAAUUCUACUACUUUGCAAUGUUUUUGACCAAUUUUAUGAUUCUAACAUGUCAUAAUGGACUUACCUAGGCUGCCCCAACAGUCCAAAAACGCUCUAGACCUCACUUGCUCAAAAUCACCACCCCACUUCCUCUAAAAUGACCUAGAACAACUCCAAUUCACUUGCCUUCCUUCCUAACCAUUAUCAUAACAGAAUUCACCCUCCCAAUUACUUCAAUCACAACAUUAUACUUUCCCUCAAUUCAAUUCACACACACUAAUUCACAGAGUCAUGAUUAACAUUCCAAAACAUGCAAAUACAAUUUCACAAAAACCCAUAUUUGUACUCAAGCAUCAGAUAAAGUAAACUUCU
rnacentral:lncRNA from 1 species